rnacentral:lncRNA from 1 species
AAUUCCAUGCAUCCUUCAAAAUACUCUUUCAUUGUCUUCCUGUGAAGUUUUCUCUGACCUCUAUCCUCUCUUUAGCUCCUUUUUAUCUUGUUAACUACACUAUUUUAUAUCAACACAAACUGUACUAUAAUUACAUACUUAUCUCUUUUUCCCUCCUCAGCUAUGAGUUCCUUAACAGCAGGUUUGUCAGGAGUUCCUAAGACUAUCCCCAGGUUCAGUGAUUCACUUGAAGGACUCACAGGACUCACCAUUGAGUUGCAGCACAGGGAAAAGACACACGGAGAGAAGUUUGGAAGAAACCAGCACUUCUCCCGAUGUUACAGCUCCUCUACAAUCAACAGCGGAAUGAGAGGGGAGAAAAAAAUCAUACCAGUCUCAUGAGAGCUAAAAUGACCCUCCCAAGAUGAAAGAGCAAGCUACAAGAGAACCAAGGUCUCCAGACUCUAGCGUCUCCCCAGUGAUAGCACAGCCAUUAUUCCUCAGGAAAAGAAAACCAUGAACAGCAUCUGGAGAGGUCAAUCACUUCCACAACCACCCUGCCUGUCCCUUCUGAGAAGGGACCAAAUCCUACCAUUCCAGAGCAAGGCUGCUCAUGUGUAAUCUCCGGAGUCCUUUCUGGAUCUUCUCUAUGACUUAAUCCAAACAGUGAGACAUCUGUUUGAAUUCCACCAUUCCACAACAUACCUAACCCUCAACAGGACUCGCUUUUAGAAAAUGGUUUCAAAGUAACUUAAGUUCCACACUGUGAAUCUACAUUUUCU